rnacentral:ncRNA from 1 species
CAGAUAGAGGUGCGGUUGAGAUGAGUACCGCUGCUGCCGACGGGCUGACUGCUUGAUGCAGGGUUCGUCAGAUAAUGUUCCCGACAUUAUGCAGCAGUGUGAAAGGUGAUACCGCCGAAGCGGACUGUGGGAAAGUCCAGCUGGCUGUUUGGUCUAACAGAUCACCGGUUGUCAUCAUGUAUUAUGAUGGAGUGCUAUCG